rnacentral:rRNA from 1 species
CUACGGGAUGCUGCAGUAGGGAAUCUUCCGCAAUGGACGCAAGUCUGACGGAGCAACGCCGCGUGAGUGAAGAAGGUUUUCGGAUCGUAAAACUCUGUUGUUAGAGAAGAACAAGUGCUAGAGUAACUGUUAGCGCCUUGACGGUAUCUAACCAGAAAGCCACGGCUAACUACGUGCCAGCAGCCGCGGUAAUACGUAGGUGGCAAGCGUUGUCCGGAUUUAUUGGGCGUAAAGCGAGCGCAGGCGGUUCCUUAAGUCUGAUGUGAAAGCCCCCGGCUCAACCGGGGAGGGUCAUUGGAAACUGGGGAACUUGAGUGCAGAAGAGGAGAGUGGAAUUCCAUGUGUAGCGGUGAAAUGCGUAGAUAUAUGGAGGAACACCAGUGGCGAAGGCGACUCUCUGGUCUGUAACUGACGCUGAGGCUCGAAAGCGUGGGUAGCAAACAGGAUUAGAUACCCCGGUAGUC